rnacentral:rRNA from 1 species
UUAUUUAGCUUGCUAAAUAAGUUAGUGGCAAACGGGUGAGUAACACGUGGGAAUCUACCCAGUAGUACGGAAUAACAGUUGGAAACGAUUGCUAAUACCGUAUAGUAUCGAGAGAUUAAAGAUUUAUCGCUACUGGAUGAGCCCGCGUCAGAUUAGGUAGUUGGUGGGGUAAUGGCCUACCAAGCCCGAGAUCUGUAGCUGGUCUGAGAGGAUGACCAGCCACACUGGAACUGAGACACGGUCCAGACUCC